GAAUUGUGUCACUCCCAUUGAGCAGGUGUGGGGGCCUCUCCCACAUGGUCCAGGUCCACCACUCUGUCAAAGGUCGCACAGCCCAGACAAAAACAGCACACAGCAGUGUGUGAAUGAGCCGGGCUUUCUCCUUCCCUCCACGUAAUAAAAGGUGCCUGAGGUUGUUGAAACACAGUCCAUUUCUCCUGGGAAUGACAAGAAUUUGAGGGAUGCUGACUUUCAAGGAAUACUGCAUGACAGGCAUCAAGAUAAACCUGAUGAAGAAAACAUAGGCCAGAAUCUCGGAAUCGGGAGCAAAGUAAUACAGCUUCGGGGACAGGCACGUAAUGAGGUCAUGAUGUAGCAGACUCCCUGCAGGACUGGCGGCCCCUGUUCCCUGGGCUGUUCUGGCUCUUUCAGGACUGCACAGUGUAUCUGAGAGAGGAUUUUCAGGAGGCCAGAAAAUCAAGCUGGAGGGAUUCUCAGCGUGUUGGGCGAUUGCUACCUGUUUUGAGUCAGACCAUUGCCACGUCCUUUUCCCCACCUUGGAGACUUCAGCCAGACUAAUCUUCCUUAGAAAUUACUUUCAUCUGUCUCCUUGCUCAAGCAUUUCCGAAAGCUCAGUGCACUGCACUACGUCAGCCUCUGUGUCCUCCAGGAUCUGAUCCUGCUAUUCUGGAGAACAAACUCCUCCCACCAUCCAAGUGCCCCUCAGCUGUUUUCCUUCACUAAUAUUUCCAAAACACACGACAACAGUUGGCAUCGCUCGCAUAUAAACAGCUCUUCCAUGUCACUGAGAAAACGAGCAAGAUCCAGGGAGGAAAAAUGGAUACAGGAUAUAAAUAGAAAAUCCUCAAAACAGGAAUUUCAAAAUGUCAACAAACAGGCAAAACUUUCUUUCAACAGCACUAUUAUGACUGAGAAAUAGACCUAGAACACAGCCUCAGAUAAUUCUCACGGUGGGAGGUUUCAAAGAUGAUGAAAAACAUCAUGAUACCAGACACAACACCUCAAGGAAGAAGGCACAGUGAGUGAGACACAGCAGACACGACUGACUGCAGAACCAAUCCUGCACACUCUUAGACACUGGAAUUGUCUAAGAGAUUGAGCAUUCACCAAGAAUCCAGAGAGAAGCUUAGUCAGAAGGAAUAAAAAACAACACUGGGAGGUGGCACUCCAAAUUAUUUCCCAAAUGCAAUCUAACAGGAAGUGGAAUAAUUCCCAUAAAUGGAGUUGAGAUCCAGUGUUUUCCAAAGGUCUGGUGAGGACAAGCCUGGUUACUCAGCAGGCAACAGAGGCAUCACUUGAGGCCAUUGCAGCCCAGCUUUGGAAGCCUGGAUGAAUGUGUCAGUCCAGAAGCUGCCGCCAGAAGUCACACCCAGAGGGGCAGCUUAGAAGAACACAUGGCAAGAAAAGCUGCUUUUAAAAACUGGAGGCACG
rnacentral:lncRNA from 1 species